ACCCAGAUGACUGAUUUCUCUUGGUGUUUAGAGUUCCGUAUGCCUGGUCUAGCACCAUUUGAAAUCAGUUAUGUGGAGAGGGU
rnacentral:pre_miRNA from 1 species